GACGAACCGUGCGAACGUUGUUCGGAAUCACUGGGCUUAAAGGGCGCGUAGGCGGGCGAUCAAGUCCGGGGUGAAAGCUUUCGGCUCAACCGGAAAAGGGCCUUGGAUACUGAUCGUCUGGAGGGAGGUAGGGGCCCGUGGAACUUCCGGUGGAGCGGUGAAAUGCGUUGAUAUCGGAAGGAACGCCGGUGGCGAAAGCGACGGGCUGGAUCUCUACUGACGCUGAGGCGCGAAAGCCAGGGGAGCAAACGGG
rnacentral:rRNA from 1 species